rnacentral:tRNA from 1 species
GGCCCCGUGGUGAGUUUCACAUUGGAUUGCAAACCCAAAGACGCAGACCUCCCGUUUGCCCGGGCUU